ensembl:lncRNA
GGUUGGGAUAGGGGUGGUUGUGGGGCUGGUUGUAGGGCUGGUUGUGGGGCUGGUUGUGGGGCUGGUGGUUGGGAUUGUGGGGCUGGUGGGUGGGAUCGGGGUAGUUGUGGGGCUGGAGGAUGGGGUUGUUGGGUUAGGGGUGGUUGUGGGGAUGGAGGUGGUUGUGGGGCUGGGGGGUGUUGUAGGGAUGGGGCUGGUUGUGGGGCUGCUGGUUGGGAUAGGGGUAGUUGUGGGGCUGGUUGUUGGAAUGGGGCUGGUUGUGGGGCUGGUGGGUGGGGUUGUGGGGAUCGUGGUUGGUGUGGGGCUGGUGGUUGGGAUGGGGGUGGUUGUUGGGUUAGGGGUGGUUGUGGGGCUGCUGGUUGGGGUGGGGGUGGUUGUGGGGCUGUCGGUGGUUGUGGGGCUGUGGGGUGCUGUAGAGCCAAUGGUGGUUGUGGGGCUGUCGGGUGCUGUAGAGCCAAUGGUGGUUGUGGGGCUGUUGGGUGCCGUAGAGCCGGUGUCGGUUGUGGGGCUGCCGGUGGUUGUGGGGCUGAAGGCAGUUCUGGGGCUUUCAGGUGUUGUAGAGCCAAUGGUGGUUGUGGGGCUGUCGGGUGCUGUAGAGCCAAUGGAGGUUGUGGGGCUGAUGGCUGUUGUAGAGCCAAUGGUGGUUGUGGGGCUGUCGGGUGCUGUAGAGCCAAUGGAGGUUGUGGGGCUGAUGGCUGUUGUAGAGCCAUUGGUGGUUGUGGGGCUGUCAGGUGCUGUAGAGCCAAUGGUGGUUGUGGGGCUGAUGGCUGUUGUAGAGGCGGUGGUGGCUGUGGGGCUGCCGGUGGUUGUGGGGCUGAUGGCUGUUGUAGAUCCAGUGCUGGUUGUGGGGCUGCCGGCUGCUGUGGGGCUGCCAGCUGUUGUGGAGCCAAUGGAGGUUGUGGGGCUGUCAGGUGCUGUAGAGCCAAUGGUGGUUGUGGGGCUGUCGGGUGCUGUAGAGCCAAUGGUGGUUGUGGGGCUGUUGGGUGCCGUAGAGCCGGUGUCGGUUGUGGGGCUGCCGGUGGUUGUGGGGCUGCUGGUGGUUAUGGGGCUGGUGGUGGUUGUGGGGCUGCCAGUGUCAGUUAUGGGGCUGCCGGUGGCUGUGGGGCUGUCGGUGUUUAUAGAGCCGUUGGUGGUUGUAGAGCUGUUGGUGGUUAUGGGGCUGGCGGUAGUUGUGGGGCUGCCGGUGGUUAUGGGGCUGACGGGUGCUGUCGAUCCAAUGGUGGCUGUGGGGCUGCUGGUGGUUAUGGGGCUGCCGGUGGCUGUGGGGCUGUCGGUGUUUAUAGAGCCGUUGAUGGUUGUAGAGCCGUUGGUGGUUGUGGGGCUGCCGGUGGUUAUGGGGCUGCCGGUGGCUGUGGGGCUGGCAGUGGUUAUGGGGCUGUUGGUGGUUGUAGAGCUGUUGUCGGUUAUGGGGCUGCCGGUGGCUGUGGGGCUGUCGGUGUUUAUAGAGCCGUUGGUGGUUGUAGAGCUGUUGGUCGUUAUGGGGCUGGCGGUGGUUAUGGGGCUGUCGGUGGUUGUAGAGCCGUUCGUGGUUGUAGAGCUGUUGGUGGCUGUGGGGCUGUCCGGUGUUGUACAGUUGGUGGCGUUUGUAGAGCCAAUGGAAGUUAUGGGGCUGCGGUUGCUGAGGCUGUGGGCGCCGUCCGCCCCCAUCGCUGCAUUCCCUGCGUGGCGGUGGUGGUCUUCUCAGUGCUGCCCCCCCACUCUGCAUCCCCCCCAUCUCCUCCCCUCCCCCACUCUGUGUGCCCCCCCAUCUCCUCCCCUCCCCCCCCCAUG